GAUGAAGAACGCAGCGAAAUGCGAUAAGUAAUGUGAAUUGCAGAAUUCAGUGAAUCAUCGAAUCUUUGAACGCACAUUGCGCCCGCCAGUAUUCUGGCGGGCAUGCCUGUUCGAGCGUCAUUUCAACCAUCAAGCCCCCGGCUUGUGUUGGGGACCUGCGGCUGCCGCAGGCCCUGAAAACCAGUGGCGGGCUCGCUAGUCACUCCGAGCGUAGUAAUACAUCUCGCUCAGGGCGUGCUGCGGGUUCCGGCCGUUAAAAAGCCUUAUUUACCCAAGGUUGACCACGGAUCAGGUAGGAAGACCCGCUGAACUUAAGCAUAUCAAUAAGCGGAGGA
rnacentral:misc_RNA from 1 species